UUUUUUUUUUAAUGAUACGGCGACCACCGAGAUCUACACUCUUUCCCUACACGACGCUCUUCCGAUCUGGUCGAGAGACCCUGCGCCGAAGAUUCCCGGGGCUAAAGUACGAAACCGAAGCUGUGGCUGUAUACGUAAAGUAUACGGGGUAGGGGAGCGUUCCCAUAGGGUAGAAGUCGAACUGGAAGGUUCGGUGGACUUGUGGGAAGUGAGAAUGUUGGUAUGAGUAGCGAAAAGAAAGGUGAGAAUCCUUUCCACCGAAAGCAUAAGGAUUCCUGAGCAACGAUCGUCGUCUCAGGGUAAGUCGGGACCUAAUCCGAGGCAGAGAGCGUAGGAGAUGGACAACUGGUUGAUAUUCCAGUACCGGUAGUAAUUGUUUGAGCAAUGGAGUGACACAGAAGGGCAGGCAAGCAUGCGAAUGGAAGAGCAUGUGUAAGCGUGUAGGGUGGUGCAUAGGCAAAUCCGUGCACUGAAAGCCUGAGGCGUGAUGCGGAGUGAGCAGAGAUGCGAGCGAAGUUGUUGACCCCACACUGUCGAGAAAAGCUUCUAGUGAGAGAGCUACCGCCCGUACCGUAAACCGACACAGGUAUGCGGGGAGAGAAUCCUAAGGUGCGCGGGAGAACCCUCGUUAAGGAACUCGGCAAAAUGUACCCGUAACUUCGGGAUAAGGGUAGCCACUGUUGUGAAGUCCCACGCGGAUGGAGCAUAGAGUGGUCGCAGAGAAGAGGCCCAAGCGACUGUUUACCAUAAACACAGGUGCCUGCUAAAGCGAAAGCUGACGUAUAGGUGCUGACACCUGCCCAGUGCCGGAAGGUUAAGGAAGGAUGUUCGGAUUAGUCCAAAGCAUUCGACUGAAGCCCCGGUGAACGGCGGCCGUAACUAUAACGGUCCUAAGGUAGCGAAAUUCCUUGUCGGGUAAGUUCCGACCCGCACGAAAGGUGUAACGAUUUGGGCACUGUCUCAACGAGGGACCCGGUGAAAUUGAAAUACCUGUGAAGAUGCAGGUUACCCGCGACUGGACAGAAAGACCCCAUGGAGCUUUACUGUAACCUGACAUUGGGUUUUGAUACAUUACGUACAGGAUAGGUGGGAGGCAUGGAAAGCUGGACGCUAGUCUGGCUGGAGCCGCCGUUGGGAUACCACCCUUGAUGUAUUGAAAUUCUAACCGCGAGAGUAACGAAAUCCGGGACAGUGUCAGGCGGGCAGUUUGACUGGGGCGGUCGCCUCCGAAAGAGUAACGGAGGCGCCCAAAGGUUCCCUCAGCGCGGCCGGAAAUCGCGCGAAGAGUGUAAAGGCAGAAGGGAGCUUGACUGCGAGUCAAACACGACGAGCAGGUACGAAAGUAGGGCUUAGUGAUCCGGUGGUACCGAGUGGAAGGGCCAUCGCUCAACGGAUAAAAGCUACCCUGGGGAUAACAGGCUAAUCUCUCCCAAGAGUCCAUAUCGACGGGGAGGUUUGGCACCUCGAUGUCGGCUCAUCACAUCCUGGGGCUGAAGUCGGUCCCAAGGGUUGGGCUGUUCGCCCAUUAAAGUGGUACGUGAGCUGGGUUCAGAACGUCGUGAGACAGUUCGGUCCCUAUCCAUCGCGGGCGCAAGAGAUUUGAAGGGGGCUGCUCCUAGUACGAGAGGACCGGAGUGGACGAACCGCUGGUGUACCAAUUAUCCCGCCAGGGGUACAGUUGGGUAGCUACGUUCGGAAAGGAUAAACGCUGAAAGCAUCUAAGCGUAGAUCGGAAGAGCGUCGUGU
rnacentral:rRNA from 1 species